UACGGAGGGUGCUAGCGUUACUCGGAAUCACUGGACGUAAAGGGCCAGUAGGCGGCCUAGCAAGUCUGGUGUGAAAACACAGGGCUCAACCCUGGAAGGGCACUGGAAACUGUUAGGCUUGAGUUCCGGAGAGGAGGGGGGAAUUCCCGGUGUAACGGUGAAAUGCGUAGAUAUCGGGAGGAAUAUCGGUGGCGAAGGCGCCCCUCUGGACGGAAACUGACGCUGAGGCGCGAAAGCGCGGGGAGCAAACAGG
rnacentral:rRNA from 1 species